rnacentral:misc_RNA from 1 species
CUUGCACAGUUCUGCAAAUUCUCUGAAAAAGAAUAUAUUAGUAAUGAUGAUGAUCAACAUAUCCAUUGCAACUGAAAGAAAAAAGGAUAAAAGAAAACAUAUUUUCCAUUGAACACAGGCAAAAAAAAGGGGAAGCACCAGAUUUCUUUUCAAUGUUUCUUUUCUGCAUCAUGCUUUGCAUUAUAGAAAAAUUAUCUCCAACAUAUAAUAUAUCAUCCAGAAUCUCUAAGGAAAUCAGUGAUAUAUAGAUGAAAAUGUUUGCAAUAUUGCAUUUUGCCUUUGAAGAAUUUUUAUUUUUUCCAGCAAAG